UGUAAUACUGACGUCAUGCUUGGACCGGUUCUAAAAAAGAUAAGUUUGGAAGCUAUCGAUAAAUGUCUUGAGCAGACAAGCUAGGUAUGUCAUUUGGUGGGAGAAUCUGUUACAUAGGGGCCAUCAAGGGACAUAAUAUCGUAUAGGUGGAUUAUAUAUGUAGUUAGAUUGGUCGUGGCGCCAAACCACUUUUUGUGAUACUCAGUGCAUGGCCUUGACCCGGCUGAUCACCGAGAAACCAGUUGUGGGCAAUUGUGGCGUUAAAAGUAAAAGCUUUCACCAAUAAGCGAGCUUGAUUUACAAAUAUACGACAUUAAUAAGUGGAAAUAAUAUCAGAAUAAUGUAUUACUUCGAUAAUGGAACAACAAAAUGUUUUAUAAGCAGCAACGCAAAGCAGUACAAUGUCCCUAUGACACAUAAUUAAAAAAGGGGGAACCAUCAAGGUCGUCGUCGUACUGCGCUCUAGUGCAAGCUCACUCAGGUGAGUGGUGCAACUGCUUGUAAAAGCAGUUAACACGGUGCAGUGCUUAAAGUCAAUUGAUGUCAUUAUAUUGUUAUUAUAACCAUAAUAUACUUAAAUUUUAUCGGUAGUUGUUCUAUUUUAAAGUCACGUGU